rnacentral:lncRNA from 1 species
AUGCUUACCAAGGAGCGGCUCUUGUCGGCUGUGGGAGGGGCAUCUGCUUCCCAUGGCUGAUGAGAAGAUUCAAUGCAGGCAGUAAUAAUGGCAAUUCUGGUUGUUUCUGUUUAUUGAAUGCUCACUAUCUGCCAGGCACUGCUCUCAACCAGUUAGUGUGUAUGACUUCAAUCAAUCGUCACAAAACCUGGAUUUGAUGUAGAAAGAGCUGCAGAAGGCAUCUCAUCCAUCAUUGGCAUACACAAGUGAUUUGUUCACAGAAUGCCCUGAAGACUAUAAAGCAUUGAACAGAAGCAGUCACCGUGAUUUUCAUGUUACUCUCUAGCCAUACACAUAGUUUGCAAAUUCAAUCUUAUGAAAAGGAGUUUAUUUAUUCUCUAAGAAAAUGGAAUUGUGAUGUGGAUGAGGUGUCACCUGAUGGUGGUUCUGCUACAUGGUCCAGACUAUAAGGCAGAAUUACAUAAGGAUAUUUUAGGCACCUGAGACACAGUGACCAACAGAUGACGGCUACUAUGAUGGUGACAACGACAACAU